AGUGAACGCUGGCGGUAGGCCUAACACAUGCAAGUCGAACGGCAGCACAGUAAGAGCUUGCUCUUACGGGUGGCGAGUGGCGGACGGGUGAGGAAUACAUCGGAAUCUACUUUUUCGUGGGGGAUAACGUAGGGAAACUUACGCUAAUACCGCAUACGACCUACGGGUGAAAGCAGGGGAUCUUCGGACCUUGCGCGAUUGAAUGAGCCGAUGUCGGAUUAGCUAGUUGGCGGGGUAAAGGCCCACCAAGGCGACGAUCCGUAGCUGGUCUGAGAGGAUGAUCCGCCCACGUGGAACUGAAACAGGGUCCAGACUCCUACGGGGGGCAGCGGGGGGGAAUUUUGGAAAAUGGGCGCAAGCCUGAUCCAGCCAUACCGGGUGGGUGAAGAAGGCCUUCGGGUUGUAAAGCCCUUUUGUUGGGAAAAAAAAGCAGCAGGUUAAUACCCCGCUGUUCUGACGGUACCCAAAAAAUAAGCACCGGCUAACUUCGU
rnacentral:rRNA from 1 species